AUUGAACGCUGGCGGCAGGCCUAACACAUGCAAGUCGAACGAUCGGCGGACGGGUGAGUAAUGUCUGGGAAACUGCCUGAUGGAGGGGGAUAACUACUGGAAACUGUAGCUAAUACCGCAUACCAUAGGAUGAGCCCAAGUGGGAUUAGGUAGUUGGUGAGGUAAAGGCCCACCAAGCCGACGAUCUCUAGCUGGUCUGAGAGGAUGAACAGCCACACUGGGAGUGAGACACGGCCCAGACUCCAACGGGAGGCAGCAGUGGGGAAUAUUGCGCAAUGGGGGCAACCCUGACGCAGCCAUGCCGCGUGAAUGGAGAAGGCCUGCGGGUUGUAAAGUUAUUUCGGUAGCGAGGCGUUAACUACAGAAGAAGCACCGGCUAACUCCGUGCCAGCAGCCGCGGUAAUUC
rnacentral:rRNA from 1 species